UUGUAUAAACCGCUCCCAGUGUUUAACUGGAAACUGAAACAUCAAGAAAUAGCUCAACAGGUUCCUGAAAAGCAUUAUUAUCCUGCAAGUCCAGGGAGGCAACUCAGAUGGUUGUGCAAGCUUGGAGAGGUGCAUCCGAGCAAGGGAGAAACUGAGGGUCCUCAACAGCAUGAAUUCUUUCCUCCUGGGUAAAGGCCCCCAGGAGCCCACAGACAUUUGUGCUGAUGUCAUUUUGACUGUGAGUAACCAGCAACCCUGACUAUGACCACAGCUACUUUAGAGGAGGUCUACCUUCGGGCUGUGAUGCAGAACCACCUGGGGAGCCUUUGAAGUGGGGUGUAAGGGAUUGAAGACCAACAAACGGGGAGCCCCACUUGCAUGGACCGACUCACAGUUACGGUGCGGUGUAAGAGGAAUGCAGCGGGGUUCCCGGAAUAGACUGAAAACAGCCAGGGUCUGUGAAACGCAAAGGUCUGGUCAACACCGACUAGAGAGACCGUGCUGAGCCAUGGUCAUGUCUACCCUGCAGGACUGGCUGAGCUUGGCAGAGAGCGCAGGGGUGCCAUCAGCCAGCCCACCUCCCCACUCACGGGACAGUACUCCUGCCCCUCCCUGCCUUCCCUCACACUCUCCCAAAGGACCUCAAUCGAGGCUUCAGGAGAAUUAAAAGCAGUUCCUCUUCAGAGCCUGGAGACCUCUGGACAUCACCCUCACCAAUGGCAAGCUCGCCAGGGAAAGAAAGUAGCAGCGAUGUGAGCCUCAGAAAACCUGGUUCCGAGCGUGGACCCUCCUGCUCACCAGCCCCGUCACCUCAGGCAAGUCAUGUAGCAUCUCCGAGUCCUUUCUCUUCUGUCUAAAUACCACCUGUCCUACCCAUUCAAGGGGGCUAUUGUAAAGAACAAAUAACAUACUUAUGGGGAAGUUCUUCUUAAUUGAUCAAAUCAUGAUUACGUACGGGCCCAGGUACCAACAGCAAUAACUGAAGUGGGCUGGGACAGGAAAGCCAGGGCAGCCAUUAUCUCACAGCACAUGGCACUGAGUCUGGGGAGACAGCAGGGGCACAGAGACCACAGCAGAGUGGAGGGGCCAGGACCUC